rnacentral:misc_RNA from 1 species
UUUAGACGUGUCCGCUGGAUGACCCCAGCUUCCUGUCAUUCCAAAUCAGGGUAAAGGUUUUUACUCGAAUGAAUUUGGUUGAUAAGAUGCUGGGCUCGAAUUCAAAUGAUCAAGCAAUUGGUCGUUUGGGUUUGAAGUCUGGCAGAACCUUGACAACUGCAUAGGUAAGUCUGGAAAAACAAAGCAUCUUACAGAUGCAUUGUUUUGAAUCUGAUCUUCUGAAAGGGAGAUUAGAUCUAGAACAAUGAAAAUUCUUUUGAGCAAGAGCCGAGACUCUUGAGCGUUCUUUGAUUCGUGUCGAGCGAAUCAGAGUUUGAUCUUGUUUUAGGAAUCAGCGAAAGUUGAUGAUUAAAACUUGAGAAUCUGCUUUCAACGGCGGUAAGCGUUCAGGAGAUUAAUUGGUCAAGCUACAAAGGGCUCACGGCGGAUACCUUGGCACACAGAGGCGAUGAA